rnacentral:lncRNA from 1 species
CUCUGAGAUUCAUUUUGAAGGAGACAGACACAAGGAAGGAGAAAGAAAUCAUAAAUGUAAAUAUUCUUAUCACUUUUGAUGGCUCAUGGAUUUUAUUUUCUCUCUUCCUUGUGUAUGUCUUUCUCUUCAAAGUGAGUUAAUGAGUUAAUAGAAUGCCUCUAGUUACUCCGUGUUCCAGUAUUUCUCUAGCUGUCAUCAGACAGGUUCACACACAAAUAGACAUAACUAAAGGACCUAUAUAUCCUCAUGGACCUUUGUCACUUUCCCCCCGCAUCAAUAUGUCACUGUCCCAAUUUCAAGGAGCAUCCUUUUAAUGGGUUAAGGAAAUCCAUGUUUCAAAGAGCAUCCUUUUACUGGGUUAAGGAAUCCAUGUUUUGUUUAUAAGACAUGACACAUGAAACUGAUGCAAGCAGACUCUUUCGCAUAUAAGCUUGUCUAAUGCAAAAUACUCUCAACCAGCAUUCAGACCACUGGAAAAGGAGAAGAAAAUAGGAAACAGAAUUGAUGAUAACCAAAGAGUUGCAGUUAGAGCUUGACUGUCACCUCAAAUCACUUAAUUCCAAUGUAAGAUCACUUAUUUCCAUGCCUGAAAGCCUAAUCGCAGCCAUUGUACUGGGCAGUUCCUCACGAGCAGUAUCUGCUAGCUUUGAAAGAGAUGUUGCCGCUCUCCCCACUGCCUGCCAACCAGAGAGGAAAAAAUAGAUGAAAAAGAACCAUUAUAGACCUUAAAUAAAAACACUAUAAAAAUUCAAUUGCAGACAAAAAUGUAUGGAGAUUCACAUUUCACUUUUUUUUUCACGGCAGUUAUUAUUAACAAGGAUAUCAUUUAAUAAAGAUACAGCUAGCAAAACAAUUGGUUGGAACCAAAUCUAGCAAAAAUCAUAAACAUGCCGUUAAAAAGAUAAAAACUGCUCUAAUCAAAGGAAGAACACACGGGAAUCAAUAGAAACCAUGUUGCUUCUCAAUGAAAACACUAUUCCUGCACGUUUUCUCAUCUUCAAAGCACAAGUGAAAGGCAAAGUCAACAGCUGAAGUUUAUUUAUAUCAUGAGUAAUUUAGCAACAACACCUUGUACAGAACAAUGUCGUUUGCAUCAAUUUUAACCACCAUCACGGUUGCUUUUUAUGUUAAAUAGGUCUAUUUAAUUAGAGGAAUUUAUCCUGAAUGUUUUUUCUUUAUCCAGAACAUUGCGCGUGUCAAGAGAAUAUAGGGAGAGGGAGGGACCCUCUGCUUUCAAGUUGUCUACAGGCUCAGAUGGAUUUGGACACUCAAGAUAAGAAGGUAGGGUCAUGUUCUUCGCCUUUGCAUGACUAAUUUGACAGCAGUGGUUCGUGGAAGAUGCUGCCAGCUGCAAUCAAUCAAUUAAUACAGUGAGGGAGGGACCCUCUACUUUCAAGUUGAAUGCAUCUCCCCAUCCCAAAACAUUACUGAAUUUUGUAAUUUUUCUUGUGUUCUAGGAAGAGUAAUUACGGAAAUUCAAUAUAUAUAGAUUAAUAAGUUGCUUCAUCUUUGAAUCUGUCCUAGGUUUAAUGUGAACAUAGGAUCGAGGGAGUUGGCUGGCUUCAUAUGCAGCAGACGACGAAAGGUCUAGCAUUAAUAUCCUUAGGUGAGACAGAUUGACAGUGAGAAAUUUAUGAUGUUCUAUUGCUAAAAAUAUAGUGAGAAAUUUACGAAAAAUGUAAAAUGAAAAAUCUGCAAAAAGUUGAACUAAAUACAAUAUGCCGACAGAGGCGGAUGAGUUGCUAUCAUUUAUUGAAGAUAGUAUAUUAUAAGCAAACAAGAUUACGGAUGUUAGGGUUCUUUUUUCUCUUCUUUAUUUCCUUAGCUCUUAAUUUUAAUUUUAACUUUUACUCUUAAAAUUAAAUAAAAUAUAAAUAAUAAACUAAUAAUAAACAAUAAAUUUCUAUAUUUUACUUUUUCAAAUUUUAAUAUUUAUUAAUUAUUAAAGAAUUAACUAUGAGAUUUAUUAUAUUUUUUAACAAUAGCAUGGUUUAUUAUUACAUUUUUUUCUGCCUCGUUUAAAUUCAUUUAUUUAUAUUCAUAAAUAAAGUGUAUGUACUGACACUACUUUCUUACAGGCUUGAACACACAAGAUAAGAAGGAAGGGUAAGAUGCUACCAGCUGCAAUCAAUCAAAGAGGGAGGGACCCUCUGUUUUGAAUUUGAAAUCGUAUCUCAUCACUCCAAAUGAAACACAUUUCACUUUAUCUUCAAAGAUUUUAUUUGUUUUUUAGGUAAUUUUUAUAGUUGUAAUUUAUAAAAAAGUAUAGUUGGAUUAAAUACAAAUGGUAUUAAGAAGAUAUAGUUAGUUGAAAUAAAAUGUUUGGUAUAAGUAUGGUUUUGAUUGUUUUUUAAAGUAUUUUUUAUUUAGAAAUACAUUAAAAUAAAUUUUUUUAUUUUUUAAAAUAUAUUUUUAAUAUCAGCACAUCAAAAUGAUUUGAAAACACAAAAAAUAUAUUAAUUUUUAAUGACACAACUAAACACUAGAAAAUAUUUUUUAAUUUAUUUUUCAUCAUACUAUUAAAUAUCAAAAAAUAAUUUAUUGAGAAAAAAGAGAAGGAAAGGGAAGGAAAGAAAAAAGAAAAGAUAUCAUCCACUAAGGGAAGCAAUGAAUGAUCUUUGCUUUUCCACACAGUAGUAUGUGUAUGUAUUGGCAGGUACAGGGCAAGGCAAUAUUAGUAUUUAAUGCGUCACGAUGUGUUUUAGGAAAUUUAUUGGUAUUUAAUUUUAAGAUAAUUAAAAUAAGUAUUUGUCAAAAAAUUGAUAAAUUAAUUUUACAGAAAAAAGUCAAAAUUCUCUUUUAUUAUUUAUUAUUUAUCUUGACAAAAACAUAUAUAUAUUUUAAUUAGCAACAUAGUUGUUUUAAUAAAUAAAAAACUUGAUGAUGUAAAUAAGUAUUCAAGAAUUUUUAAUUUUUGUAAAUUAAAAAGGAAAUACUAAAUGGUUGUUAAUAAAUUUAAUUUUUAUAUUAAUUUUGAUCUUUAUUUUUAUUUUGCUUUUCUUUUAUUAUUUUUUAUUUGAAAAUUUUUAUUUAUCAAAUAAACAAGACAAUGUAUGUCAUGAUAAAAUGCAAAGUUAACUAAUUUCAUUCGGCAAUUUAAAUUCUAUGUUUGUCUAAUUUCUUUAGGUUUACUAUUGUGAGGGUCCUGUCAGCUAAGAUCUUCUACAACAGUCAAUCACUUUUGAAAAUCAGCUGAAGGCUCGAAGUGUCUGUUUUGUGUAAUUUUCCUUGCCUUAAUUUCCUUGGCUAGCUGUGUGUGACGAUUUGUGAUCAAUAAAUUGAUAAGUUUUUGGUUGUUCUGAAUUAUUGGCUUGCCUCUUUAUUUUAUUCAACUUAUCUUUUAUUAUUUAUUUUUUUAUCUUGACAAAAACAUAUAUAUUUUUUAAAUUAGCAACAUAGUUGUUUUAUUAAAAAAACUUGGUAAUUUAAAUAAGUAUUCUUAAAUUUUUAAUUAUUUAAAUUAAAAGGGAAAUCCUGAAUGGUAGUUUAUAAAUUUGUUUUGCUCUUUGUUUUUUAGUCACUUUUUUUAUAUUUUGUUAUAUGCUUUCCACUUGUCCCGUCUUUCUUAACAUUUGUAGAUGGAGCGCAUGCGUGGUCCUUCUGCCUGAAGAGUAUACCAUUUGUAGAUGGAGCGCAUGCGUGGUCCUUCUGCCUGAAGAGUAUACCAGUGAGAGAUGAUUCGGUCAUUUACAAUUUUCUCACAAAUUAAUAAAGAUGAAAGCAUAGUUGUUAAGAUUUUAUUUUUACAAUCUUUUUGAUUUAUGAAUAUGCUUUCUUUUUUCUUGAUUUUUCAGUACCAUUUAGAAAUACUCAGUAAAUUAAUUUAAAUAUAGAAAAUCAAUAUAGAAGCAUUACAUUUUUAUAAAACAGAUAAUUUAGCCUGGUCUCAAAGAGUUUUAAAAUUCUCCCUUGAUCUAUUAAGUGUAGAUUUUCUUAAAACCUCAACCCCAGUUUUUAUGGGAACACAUAAAUAAAAAGACUCCCAAAAUCUCUUUUCAAAUCAAGUAAAGGAUUAGAAGAGCUGUCAAAUCUAUUGUGGAUUGGGUGCUUGAAAUUUCUUCAAACUUUAGUCAUCUUUAAUUGUGAAAAUCUAGAAAAUUUGGUCUUAGAAGCACUAUUAUUAAACCCGGCCCGGGUUUAAUAAAAGACCGGCUGUGACAACCGGCCAAACCCGGGUGACCUGGCUGGUCGACCUGGGACCCGAGCGAACCCAGACGAGACCUGUUUUUUUUUUUUUUUUUCAAAUGUGGGAUAAAAAAAUUUUUGGUUUAAAUAUUUCAACUUAAAAUGACAACAUAGUAUUUGAAACCCAUUAGUAUAUAUACUCUAUGUUCCCAAGGAAAAAAUCAUGUUUUUUCAAUGUGGUAUAAAAAACCUUUUGGUUUAAAUACUUCAACUUAAAAGGAUAACAUAAUAUCUUUUUCAAUGUGGGAUUUGAAGCCCUUUCAUAUAUAUAUAUUCUAUGUUCCCAUAAAAAAGUUAUGUUUUUUCAAUGUGGGAUUUGAAACCCAUUAGUAUAUAUACUCUAUGUUUCCAAGGAAAAAACCAUGUUUUUUCAAUGUGGGAUAAAAAAUCUUUUGGUUUAAAUACUUUAAGUUAACAUAGUAUCUUUUCAAUGUGGGAUUUGAAGCCCUUUCAUAUAUAUACUCUAUGUUCCCAUGAAAAAAGUUAUAUUUUUUCAAUGUGAGAUUUGAAUCCUAUUAGUAUAUAUACUCUAUGUUUCCAAGGAAAAAGUUAUGUUUUUUCAAUGUAGGAUAAAAAUCUUUUUUAAAUAUUUUUUGAAAUUUCAUUAUUUAUAAUAUAUAUAAUCUAUAUUUACAUUGAUUUUUUCAUAUAAAAUAUUAAAACUUUAAUUUGUUUUUAAUUUUCUCGGGUUAAUCUGAGUUGACUCGGGUUGACCCAUGAAACCCGAGACUUUGUCCCUUGGCCGGGUCAAUCCCCGAGCCGGGUUUAAUAACUAUACUUAGAAGUCUUCGGAUAUUGGUUAUUGGUGGAUGUAGUAGCUUGAUUUCUUUUCCAGGAAGCAUAAGAUGCCUACCUACUCUGGAAGAUUUUUGUAUUAUUGAAGGUAAAAAGCUUGAUUUAAUAAUAAUAGAAGAAGAGAAAAUCCAACCACUUUCCCUUCGUAUUGUAAUAUUUGAAGAGUUACUAAUAACUUUUGCUUUACUACAAUCUCUACAAACAUUUAUCAUUAAAUAGUGUCCAAACAUAUCCCUAAAAUCAAGCUUAACAAUGAUAACAGUGGUGAAGGGUUAUGAGGAUUUAAAUCUAUUAUAUUUAGUUUCGCAUUUUUAUCCACUCUUCAAUUCCUUUUAUUUCACUUAAAUUAUUUUCCCUGAAAAAAAAUGCAAUGUUUAUUUGGCAAAACCUUUUUUGUUUUGGAGGGGCAAGUUCAAGUGGAACUUCAUUAGAUUUAACUAGAGGAAAAGAACAAGACAAGGCAUGUCAUGAUAAAAUGCAAAGCUAACUAAUUUCAUUCAACAAUUUAAAUUUCUUUGAACUUAAUACAUCAUUAUUAAAUUCUAUGUUUGUCUAAUUUCUUCAGGUUUACUACAAUGAGGGUCAUGUCGGCUAAAAUCUUUUACAACAAUCAGUCACUUCCAAAGAUCAGCUUAAGGCUUGGAGUGUCUGCUUUGUGUAAUUUCCCCUGCCUUAAUUUCCUUGGCUAGUUGUGUGUGAUGAUUUAUCAAUAAUAAAUUGAUAAACUUUUGGUUGCUCUGAAUUAUUAGCUUGCCUCUUUCUUCUAUUCAACUUAUCUUAUUUAAAAUAAUUGUGUGAUCAUUUAAAUAAUUAUGUUUAACAUAUAAAUUCAUCCUUCUAAACAAACUAAAAAACUGAAGUUCGGAGGAGAAGUAGCAAUUAUGCCACUUGUUUCAAAUAAUACAACAGUCAUCAAGAACUUCAAACUUACUGAAAUGUCUCAUUCAUGAGUUUCAAAGAUCUUAAAGAAGAGACAUCCAUUUCCGCACCCUUCAAGAACAUCUACCCUUUCUUUAUAUCGGUGGCUACAAAUCUAGUGAUAAAUUUACGAAAAAUGUGCAAGAGGUUGUUCUAAAUACAUACAAAGCUGACAGAGGCGAAUGUCGAAUUUUCUCAGCCAUGGCAUGACAAAUUGACAGCGGUAGUUCGAGGAAGAAGCUGCCAACAACCAUCAAUCAAUUAGUAUAGGGAGGAAGGGACCCUCAUGCAACUAUGCUCUAAAGUUGAAUGUAUCACAUCAUUCCAAAACACACUUUGAUUCAUCUUUUAAUAUUUCACACCAUACUUCUCUUUCUCUUGUGCUCCAAAUUUCUUUUUUGCUACAAAAGAAUCUGUUUUUUUUUUGGGUAAUUUGUGCUUUUUUCUUUAUAUCUUGUUAGUACUUCAUAACUAUGAAUUUGUAUUAACUCUUGUAUUAAGACAAUUAAAUUAUUAUGAAGUUAGUUUUGUUGUUACUGUUGCGUUGAAUUCUGAUUGACUUAUUUGAAGGAUAAGUUUGUAUGUAAGUUUGGGUUCGCAUAGGUAUGAAAAUUUUUAUUGUUUUUAAUUUCACCUAUCAAUCUAAGUUUAUAGUGUAAAACUAUUUUUUAUUUUAAUCUUUUUUCUUUUGAUUUUUUUUUUGUUUUGUUAAUAUUUUUUAUUCUUUUUAAUUUAACUUUCAAAUUUAAAACAUGUUGUUGCCCUUAGAUUUAUUUUUUAUUGCACUUUUAAUCCUUAUUAUUUUUAUUGUAUUUUUUUUAUUUUGAAUUUUUUUGUAUUGUUAAUUUAUAUAAGCUUAAGUCUCAUAACUUUUUCAUAUAUAAUAUUUUCGGUUUUAUAACUCGGAUUACGGUUUAAAAAAUUAACAAUAAUUAACUAUUUUUGUCUUAUGCUUUUGAGAUUCAAAAAAAAUAAAUAUAUAUAUAUAUAUAUAUAUAUUAAAAAAAAAAUUUAUAACUUUUUUAUUCUCAUUUCAUUUAUACUUUGUUAGCAAAUAAUUUCAGAUGUAAGUUCAAGAACAUGGAUCGUCAUGUUGAGACAAACCCAUAGGACCAAAUCCCAGGCAAAAGAAAGUUACAGCAAAGAAUAAAGAGGGGAGCACCAAAUUAAUGACAAUUGAAUGGCAAUCACUGUAUCAAAUGGCAUUGUUCUACUUUUGUGGGAACCGACAGAUUAAUUUGGAUCUGCAGAGAUUUGAGAGAUCUUACCUUUUUAUCUGAAGACAUUGUAGCAUGGCAUGUCUGGCGCUGCACUGAAAACGACAGUUUUAGGAUUUACCACAGCAUGAAAAGCUUCCAGAGGGACACAUGAGCUCUUAAGCACUUGGCAGCAUAUUUUCUGAUAGCAUUUUUGAAAAAAAUUAAAAUAUUUUUGGCAACUAGUUUUUAUUUUUUAACUAAGUCAGUAUAUACUCUAACAACGUGAUGGAUUAUGUUAUUUCUAAUUUAGUUUCCGCUAAAACAUUUCGUCUACAGUAUAUACCCAACUUUAAGGGCAGAAAAGUUUGAGAAAUCAAACUUAUUGCUUGGAUGGUGAAGAUUUUUUCCAAGGAUAAACAAAUUCUGAUUUGCUGAGAAUAAUAGUGGCUGCUGAGAAUGAUAGAGCCAGUUUGAUCCUAAUAUAUAGCAAUUUUAUUCAAGUGUAAAUUGCAGUGCUGAUGUGAUCUGAGCAAGGCAUUACAGCCUCUCUAUUAAGUUUUUCUCCAUUAUAUAAGAUUUGCAUGCACAAGACGAAAAUAGCAACUUAAUUAGUUGUGGUAAAUUCAACAGCCUCUACAAACUCAUUCCAACCUCAAAGUCGAUUUUAAUUCGUCCAGAAAGUUUUAGAAACUUCAACAAGUCUUGAAAACUAAACUAUUUUUAACACAACCCUGCAAGAACAAAAAUAAAGAUAGCAAGCAAACCCUGAGUCUAUUUUUAUCCAGCUUGGAGAUUUAAAAAAAAAGCAAUGAAACAGACUCAUACAUUGCUGGCUGCGUUGCAUUGGUUGUUAUCCAUGGCUGAGAAGGAAAGAAAGAGCAUCAAAUCUAAUCAAAGGAAGAACACACGGGAAUCAAUAGAAACCAUGUUGCUUCUCAAUGAAAAGACUAUUCCUGCACGUUUUCUCAUCUUCAAAGCAAAAGUGAAAGGCAAAGUCAACAGCUGAAGUUUAUUUAUAUCAUGAGUAAUUUAGCAACAACACCUUGUACAGAACAAUGUCGUUUGCAUCAAUUUUAACCACCAUCACGGUUGAUUUUUAUGUUAAAUAGGUCUAUUUAAUUAGAGGAAUUUAUCCUGAAUGUUUUUUCUUUAUCCAGAACAUUGCGCGUGUCAAGAGAAUAUAGGGAGAGGGAGGGACCCUCUGCUUUCAAGUUGUCUACUGGCUCACAUGGAUUUGGACACUCAAGAUAAGAAGGUAGGGUCAUGUUCUUCGCCUUUGCAUGACUAAUCUGACAGCAGUGGUUCGUGGAAGAUGCUGCCAGCUGCAAUCAAUCAAUUAAUACAGUGAGGGAGGGACCCUCUGCUUUCAAGUUGAAUGCAUCUCCCCAUCCCAAAACAUUACGGAAUUUUGUAAUUUUUCUUGUGAGUUAUUGUGUUCUAGAAAGAGUAAUUACGGAAAUUCAAUAUAUAUAGAUUAAUAAGUUGCUUCAUCUUUGAAUCUGUCCUAGGUUUAAUGUGAACAUAGGAUCGAGGGAGUUGGCUGGCUUCAUAUGCAGCAGACGACGAAAGGUCUAGCAUUAAUAUCCUUAGGUGAGACAGAUUGACAGUGAGAAAUUUAUGAUGUUCUAUUGCUAAAAAUCUAGUGAGAAAUUUACGAAAAAUGUAAAAUGAAAAAUCUGCAAAAAGUUGAACUAAAUUCUAUGUUUGUCUAAUUUCUUCAGGUUUACUACAAUGAGGGUCCUGUCGGCUAAGAUCUUAUACAACAGUAAGCCAAUUCCAAAGAUCAGCUUAAGGCUCGGAGUGUCUGCUUUGUGUAAUUUCCCCUGCUUUAAUUUCUUUGGCUAGCUGUAUGUGACGAUUUAUCAAUAAUAAAUUGAUAAACUUUUGGUUGCUCUGAAUUAUUGGUUUGCCUCUUUCUUCUAUUCAACUUAUCUUAUUUAAAAUAAUUGUGUGAUCAUUUAAAUAAUUAUGUUUAACAUAUAAAUUCAUCCUUCUAAACAAACUAAAAAACUGAAGUUCGGAGGAGAAGUAGCAAUUAUGCUACUUGUUUCAAAUAAUACAACAGUCAUCAAGAACUUCAAACUUACUGCAAUGUCUCAUUCAUGAGUUUCAAAGAUCUUAAAGAAGAGACAUCCAUUUCCGCACCCUUCAAGAACAUCUACCCUCUUUUUAUAUCGGUGGCUACAAAUCUAGUGAUAAAUUUACGAAAAAUAUGCAAGAAGUUGUUCUAAAUACAUACAAAGCUGACAGAGGCGAAUGUGGAUUUUUCUCAGCCAUGGCAUGACAAAUUGACAGCGGUAGUUCGAGGAAGAAGCUGCCAACAACCAUCAAUCAAUUAGUAUAGGGAGGAAGGGACCCUCAUGCAACUAUGCUCUAAAGUUGAAUGUAUCACAUCAUUCCAAAACACACUUUGAUUCAUCUUUUAAUAUUUCACACCAUACUUCUCUUUCUCUUGUGCUCAAAAUUUCUUUUUUGCUGCAAAAGAAUUUGUUUUUUUGGGUAAUUUGUGUUUUUUUCUUUAUGUCUUGUUAGUACUUCAUAACUAUGAAUUUGUAUUUACUCUUGUAUUAAGACAAUUAAAUUAUUAUGAAGUUAGUUUUAUUGUUACUGUUGCGUUGAACUCUGAUUGACUUAUUUGAAGGAUAAGUUUGUAUGUAAGUUUGGGUUCGUAUAGGUAUAAAACUUUGAACGAGAACCUUAUCUAUGUGCUGGUCAUGAAUUCACAAAUCGAGUAGUGAUAUUUUUUAUAAAAUUUUUAUUGUUUUUAAUUUCACCUAUCAAUCUAAGUUUAUAGUGUAAUACUAUUUUUUAUUUUAAUCUUCUUUCUUUUGAUUUUUUUUUUUCGUUUUGUUAAUAUUUUUUAUUUUUUUUAAUUUAACUUUCAAAUUUAAAACAUGUUGUUGCCCUUAGAUUUAUUUUUUAUUGCACUUUUAAUCCUUAUUAUUUUUAUUUUGAAUUUUUUUGUAUUGUUAAUUUAUAUAAGCUUAACCCUCAUAACUUUUUCAUAUAUAAUACUUUUGGUUUUAUAUCUCGGAUUACGGUUUAAAAAAUUAACAAUAAUUAACUAUUUUUGUCUUAUGCUUCUGAGAUUAAAAAAUAUAUAUAUAUAUAUAUAUAUUAAAAAAAAAUUAUAACUUUUUUAUUCUCAUUUCAUUUAUACUUUGUUAGCAAAUAAUUUCAGAUGUAAGUUCAAGAACAUGGAUCGUCAUGUUGAGACAAACCCAUAGGACCAAAUCCCAGGCAAAAGAAAGUUACAGCAAAGAAUAAAGAGGGGAGCACCAAAUUAAUGACAAUUGAAUGGCAAUCACUGUAUCAAAUGGCAUUGUUCUACUUUUGUGGGAACCGACAGAUUAAUUUGGAUCUGCAGAGAUUUGAGAGAUCUUACCUUUUUAUCUGAAGACAUUGUAGCAUGGCAUGUCUGGCUCUGCACUGAAAACGACAGUUUUAGGAUUUACCACAGCAUGAAAAGCUUCCAGAGGGACACAUGAGCUCUUAAGCACUUGGCAGCAUAUUUUCUGAUAGCAUUUUUGAAAAAAAUUAAAAUAUUUUUGGCAACUAGAUUUUUUUUUUUUCACGGCAGUUAUUAUUAACAAGGAUAUCAUUUAAUAAAGAUACAGCUAGCAAAACAAUUGGUUGGAACCAAAUCUAGCAAAAAUCAUAAACAUGCCGUUAAAAAGAUAAAAACUGCUCUAAUCAAAGGAAGAACACACGGGAAUCAAUAGAAACCAUGUUGCUUCUCAAUGAAAAGACUAUUCCUGCACGUUUUCUCAUCUUCAAAGCAAAAGUGAAAGGCAAAGUCAACAGCUGAAGUUUAUUUAUAUCAUGAGUAAUUUAGCAACAACACCUUGUACAGAACAAUGUCGUUUGCAUCAAUUUUAACCACCAUCACGGUUGAUUUUUAUGUUAAAUAGGUCUAUUUAAUUAGAGGAAUUUAUCCUGAAUGUUUUUUCUUUAUCCAGAACAUUGCGCGUGUCAAGAGAAUAUAGGGAGAGGGAGGGACCCUCUGCUUUCAAGUUGUCUACUGGCUCACAUGGAUUUGGACACUCAAGAUAAGAAGGUAGGGUCAUGUUCUUCGCCUUUGCAUGACUAAUCUGACAGCAGUGGUUCGUGGAAGAUGCUGCCAGCUGCAAUCAAUCAAUUAAUACAGUGAGAGAGGGACCCUCUGCUUUCAAGUUGUCUACUGGCUCACAUGGAUUUGGACACUCAAGAUAAGAAGGUAAGGCCAUUUUCUUCGCCUUUGCAUGACUAAUCUGACACCAGUGGUUCGUGGAAGAUGCUGCCAGCUGCAAUCAAUCAAUUAAUACAGUGAGGGAGGGACCCUCUGCUUUCAAGUUGUCUACUGGCUCACAUGGAUUUGGACACUCAAGAUAAGAAGGUAAGGCCAUUUUCUUCGCCUUUGCAUGACUAAUCUGACACCAGUGGUUCGUGGAAGAUGCUGCCAGCUGCAAUCAAUCAAUUAAUACAGUGAGGGAGGGACCCUCUGCUUUCAAGUUGAAUGCAUCUCCCCAUUCCAAAACACACUUCAUUUCAUCCCUACUUCACAACUUUCAGACCAUUCUUAUCUCUCUUUACCUCAAUCUUUCUUCUUUGAUUUCCCAAAGAAAACAAGAGAAUAUGGCAGCAGAGCUUUUUCUUACGUUGGCCAUAGAGGAGACUUUGAGAAGGUUGAGUUCCAUAGCUGUUGAAGGGAUCGGACUUGCUUGGGGAUUGGAGAAACAGCUGCAAAAGCUAAAGCAAUCCUUGACCUGGAUCAAAGAUGUGCUCCAAGAUGCAGCAAUAAAGUCAGUCACAAACGAUUCUGUGAGGGGUUGGCUGGAGAAACUACAAGAUGUAGCUUCCGAUGCUGAAGAUGUUCUAGACGAGUUUGCUUAUGAGAUUCUCCGAAAAGACCAAAAGAAGGGAAAGGUACGUGACUUUUUUUCAUCCCGCAACCCUGCCGCAUUCCGUUUGAAUAUGGGUCGGAAAGUUCAGAAGAUCAUUGAAGCCCUGGAUAAAAUCCUGGAUGUUGGCUCUCGUCUUGGGUUGAGAAAUCUACCUGAAGUUAGGCGGGAUCCACGCCGACAGACAGAUUCCAUCCUUGACAGCUCAGCAGUUGUAGUAGGAAGGGAGAAUGAUGUCUCUGAAGUUGUGGAAUUGUUGACUAGCAUGACCAAAUCCGAACACGCCCUUUCAGUUGUCCCAAUAGUGGGGAUGGCUGGCCUUGGAAAGACUACUAUAGCAAAAAAGGUUUUCCAAGAAGUCAAGGACAGAAAGCUUUUUGAUGUAACAAUAUGGGUUUGUGUUUCUAACCAUUUUGAUGAAGUGCAGAUUCUACGAGAGAUGUUGCAAAAGAUUGAUAAAACUACUGGCUGGGUGGACAAUCUUGAUGCAAUUCUUGAAAACCUCAAGAAAGAGCUGGAAAAGAAAACAUUUCUUCUUGUUCUUGAUGAUGUGUGGAAUGAAGACCAUGAUAAGUGGGCUGGUUUGAAGGAGGGAUUGUUAAAAAUUAGAGACAAGAAUGGGAAUGCAGUUGUUGUUACAACCCGCCUUGAGGAAGUAGCAAGCAUGAUAUUGAAGACUUGUCCUGGGAGUCAGCACGAGCCAUGGAGACUGUCAGAGAAUCAAUGUUGGUCAAUUAUCAAGCAAAAGGUGAAUGGGGGUGGAGGAGCAUCAAUGGCUUCAGACUUGGAGUCUAUUGGACAAGAGAUUGCAAAGAAAUGUGGAGGGCUUCCAUUGCUAGCUAAUGUUUUGGGAGGAACAUUGAGCCAAAUGGAGAUACAGGAGUGGCAGUCAAUUCUAAACAGUAAAAUUUGGGAGUCCCGUGAUGGAAAUGAAGCUUUGCAUAUAUUGAGACUCAGUUUUGAUCACCUGUCAUCGCUAUCACUGAAAAAAUGUUUUGCAUACUGUUCUAUUUUUCCUAAAGAUUUUAAAAUUGAAAGGGAAGAGCUAAUUCAACUUUGGAUGGCCGAAGGUUUUCUCGGGCCAUCAAAUAGGACGAUGGAAGACGAAGGCAACAAGUGUUUCAAUGACUUGCUUGCAAAUUCCUUUUUCCAAGAUGUUGAAAGGAAUGAGUGUGAGAUCGUAACAAGUUGCAAGAUGCAUGAUCUUGUGCAUGAUCUUGCAUUACAGGUCUCAAAAUCAGUAGCGUUAAAUCUGGAGGAGGAUUCGGCUGUUGAUGGUGCAUCUCAUAUUCGUCAUCUAAAUCUCAUAUCUCGUGGGGAUGUUGAGGCAGUAUUUCCAGCGGUUGAUGCUAGAAAAUUGCGAACUGUUUUCUCAAUGGUUGAUGUAUUCAAUGUCUUGGAAAUUCAAAAGCUUGAGAACUCUCAAAUUGCGACGGUCUGAUAUCACAGAGUUACCAGAUUCAAUUUGCAAGCUGAGACAUUUGAGAUAUCUUGAUGUCUCGGUACUGCUAUCAGCGCAUUGCCGGAAUCCAUCACCAAGCUCUACCAUUUGGAAACAUUAAGAUUCAUUGAUUGCAUGUUACUAGAAAAGCUUCCCAAGAAAAUGAGGAAUUUAGUCAGCUUGAGACAUCUUCAUUUUGAUGUUCCAAGGCUAAUGCCAGCUGAGGUGAGACUCUUAACACGCCUUCAAACUCUGCCUUUUUUUGUUGUGGGUCCAGAUCAUAUGGUUGAAGAGCUGGGAUGUUUGAAAGAACUAAGAGGAGAAUUGAAGAUAUGCAAGCUUGAGCAAGUGAGAGACAGAGAAGAAGCUGAGAAGGCAGAACUGAGUGGAAAAAGAAUGAAAAAAUUGGUGUUUGAAUGGAGUAACAGUAGUGUCAAUAGCGAGGAUGUGCUGGAAGGCCUGCAGCCUCACCCAGACAUAAGAAGCUUGACAAUUAAGGGUUAUGGAGGUGAAUAUUUCCCAUCAUGGAUGUCUACAUUGCCACUCAAUAAUCUGACGGUGCUGAGAUUGAAUGGCUGCAGCAAGUUGAGGCAACUCCCAGCACUUGGAUGUCUUCCUCGCCUUCAGAUUCUACAGAUAAAAGGAAUGGGUACUGUACAAUGUAUAGGCAAGGAGUUCUAUAGCAGCAGCAGUGGCAGUGCAGCAGUACUGUUUCCAGCACUAAAAGAACUCACUUUGAAGGAUAUGGAUGGUCUUGAAGAAUGGGUGGUACCAGGUGGAGAAGGUGAUCAAGUAUUUCCUUGUCUUGAAAGGUUGUGCAUUGAGGGGUGUGGCAAGUUGAGGCAACUCCCAGCACUUGGAUGUCUUCCUCACCUUCAGAUUCUACAGAUAAAAGGAAUGGGUACUGUACAAUGUAUAGGCAAUGAGUUCUAUAGCAGCAGCAGUGGCAGUGCAGCAGUACUGUUUCCAGCACUAAAAGAACUCACUUUGAAGUAUAUGGAUGGUCUUGAAGAAUGGGUGGUACCAGGUGGAGAAGGUGAUCGAGUAUUUCCUUGUCUUGAAAGGUUGAGCAUUCUUAAGUGUGGCAAGUUGAGGCAACUCCCAGCACUUGGAUGUCUUCCUCGCCUUCAGAUUCUACAGAUAUAUGGAAUGGGUACUGUAAAAUGUAUAGGCAAGGAGUUCUAUAGCAGCAGCAGUGGCAGUGCAGCAGUACUGUUUCCAGCACUAAAAGAACUCACUUUGGAGGAUAUGGAUGGUCUUGAAGAAUGGGUGGUACCAGGUGGAGAAGGUGAUCAAGUAUUUCCUUGUCUUGAAACGUUGUGCAUUGAUGGGUGUGGCAAGUUGAGGCAACUCCCAGCACUUGGAUGUCUUCCUCGCCUUCAGAUUCUACAGAUAAAUGGAAUGGGUACUGUACAAUGUAUAGGCAAUGAGUUCUAUAGUAGCAGCAGUGGCAGUGCAGCAGUACUGUUUCCAGCACUAAAAGAACUCACUUUGGAGGAUAUGGAAGGUCUUGAAGAAUGGGUGGUACCAGGUGGAGAAGGUGAUCGAGUAUUUCCUUGUCUUGAAAGGUUGAGCAUUUUUAAGUGUGACAAGUUGAAAAGCAUUCCGAUAUGUGGUCUUUCAUCUCUUGUAAAAUUUGAUAUUAUAUUAUGUGGUGAACUGAGAUAUUUUUCUGGUGAGUUUCGUGGCUUCACGUCUCUUCAAAUUUUAGAGAUACGGUAUUGUCCAAAGCUGGCAUCCAUUCCAAGCGUACAACACUGCACAGCUCUGGUGGAAUUGAGUAUAUGGGACUGCCAUGAGUUGAUCUCAAUUCCUGGUGAUUUUCGAGAAUUGAAUUCUUUGAAGAAAGUGAUUGUUGAUGGGUGUAAAUUGGGAGCUCUUCCAAGCGGACUACAAUGUUGCGCAUCUCUAGAGGUAUUGUACAUACGUGGUUGGAGUGAGCUUAUCCGUAUCAAUGAUUUACAAGAAUUGUCUUCGCUACGAAGUUUAGGGAUUAUACGUUGUGAUAAGCUCAUCAGUGUUGAUUGGCAUGGUUUACGACAAUUGACUUCUCUUGUUGAUUUAUCAAUCAGUUGGUGUCCUAGUUUGAGUGACAUCCCAGAGGAUGAUUGGUUAGGCAGCCUCACCCAACUGAAGGAAUUGAGCAUCGGUGGUUUCUCAGAGGAGAUGGAGGCUUUUCCUGUUGGAGUUUUAAACUCAAUCCAACACCUCAACUUGAGUGGGUCCCUCAAAUCCCUAGAGAUAGUUGGAUUGGAUAAACUGAAGAGUAUACCACACCAACUUCAACACCUUGCCCUUACUAGCUUGUGUAUAACGCGGGUUUCAAUGGAGAGGUAUAAGGGGUUUCAAGGGAGAGGAGUUUGAGGAAGCAUUGCCAGAAUGGUUGGCCAACCUUUCUUCUCUUCGAUCUCUUACUAUUGGCGAUUGCAAGAAUCUCAAGUAUCUACCAAGUUCAACAGUCAUUCAACGCCUCUCCAAAUUAAAGAAAUUGCGGAUUUGGGAUUGUCGACAUCUUGAAGAAAAUUGUAGAGAGGAGAAUGGCUAUGAAUUGCCCAAGAUUUCUCAUAUUCCAAUAAUCUAUAUAGGCGGUAAAUGUAUACAGCAGAUAUAUUGACGGUAGAUACUUUGUAAUAUGUAGUGAGGUGAGAGAACCAAAGUAAUAAUUAAAUUGUAUUUUUUUUAAAAUGGUUUCUUUCUCGUAUCCCAACAUUCUUUAUAGUAAUAUCAAAAGUAACCAAAUCAAUCAUAAUCAAAAGCAAUUAUUAGAGUCUUAUUAUCUUUUAUUAUUAUAUUAACAAAAUUUAGAUUUUUGAUUAAUGAUAAUAUCAAUAACCGUCACUCGUUAUUGUAAUAUUACUUGUACCCUCAAUCAUUACUUUAGAAUCAUUAAUUUUAUAUACAAUUAUGAUACUUAAAACAAACUAUUAAAUCUUAAAAUUAAAUACAUAUGAAUUUAAUGAUGAUUUUUUAAAAUUAAAAAAUUAUAACCAUGAAAUUAAUAAUUUGAAAAUUAUAACCAAAAAUUUGCCUAAUCGUUUCUUGCCUGCAUGUAGUAACCAAUUUUAACAAAUUGCUUCCAUAUAGCUCUUAAACAAACAGCUUCCAAGAUUUAAAAAAGAAUCCAACGUAAAAGGGAUGCAAAAUCUUAACAGUUCAACUUCUGUUAGUUACGUGCAUAAAAAUAUAAAUUUGGUUUAAACCUUUUUAUUGAGCUCAAAGCACAAAAUAGUUUGGAAGAAAAAUGCUGCAAAUAAUGGUUCCAAAAAAGAGUUAUUCACCACUAGUUCUGUUGCUUAACAUAGAGGCUCUGAUUUGAAUAAUAAAAUACCGAUAUGGGAAAACCAAAGCAACACCAAAAAUAGCUUCAGGUAAACAUUUUAAAUUAAUAAAGUUAGCUUCAUUUGGCUACAAGACUUUAUCACUCUCCCAUAUUGUUGUCUACAAGACCUAAUCGACUGAAUGUAUCUCAAUUUUCUGCUAUUUGGCUAAAUUUUCAACCCAACUACCCCAUGAAAAUGAAGCCCCUGUCACCUAUGAAAUCUGUCAUCACUUGCAAGUCCUGAUCUGACAACGCAAGAACUGCUCCUAAUACAUUGUUCUUGGGACAAACAAUUGCCGUCGACGCCAUCCUUCAGUUUGUGGAAUUUCAAUUUCAAUCUGAGAAUGAUAAAUUUCUAUCAGUCAUGCACUAAUUUGUUCAUUCAAUUAUUCAUUCUUCUGUUUCAAACCACCCAGUCGACUUGGAGUUACAAUUGCUGAAGGCACUAAUUUGUUGCUUCAAUUCGAAUUUUACACUACCUUGGAAAACCUAAAUAUUUUCCUAACUCACUGGCAGUAUGAAUAGAUGAAAGCUAAGAAAUCUUACAUUUCUUCCUUCUGCUAACAGACUUGGAACACAUGAUUAUGGAUUUCACCAAGUUCAUUUUUAGCCCAAAAGCCAUGCAAAACUAUGUUAAAACAUUAUUAAUCAAUCUAACUUGUGAAUUCCUAGCCUUCGAGAACAAAAACAUAUCGUCUAUAAAGAGCAAGUGGGAGAUCUCAGGUCCUCCUCUUGACACUCUGAUUGGCUCCCAUAUACCAUAUGAGAUUAUAUCAAAUAUUAAUAAAGAUUAAUGUAUCACAUUUAUUGAUGGAUUGUUGUAAAAGAAGUGUUAAUUGUUUAUCCACUCAUAUAAUAAUAUUAUUUAUUUAGAUUUGAAUUUUAAAUCUUCAGUUUUAUUUUUAAAUUUCCAUUGAAUGUAUUAUUUGUUAUAUCUAGGUAAGUUUAAUAUAAAGUUUUCAAUUUAGUUAUAUUAAGCAUGGAUUUUUUAGGAUGACGACAACAACAAUGAUAAUAAUUCAAGUUAAAAAUAUGAAAUUAAUAUAUAAAAAUUGAAGUUAUGUAAAUCUUAAAUACUAAUAAUGUAUUUAUAAAUAGUUUAUUUUGAUGAUUUGAAAAAAUAAAAUUCCUCAACAAGGAAAAAAAGUAUAACCAUUUUUGUUUUUUUAAGAAAAUAAAUUUGGUAAGAAAAGGUAAAUUUUGAAUAUCCUAACUAUUAAAAAAUAAAAGACUUCCUACUUUUAGUUAUAUUUUCUAAUAUAAAUAUAAUAUUAACAUUUAAUAUCACCAUUUUGUCAAAAAUCAAAUUAAAAAUAUCUUGAUCUAUUUAAAAAUAAAAUAGAUUGUAAAAUCGGAUUAACAAACUAUAAAAAUGGAAAGAACACCAUCCUUUUAUUGUCUCUAAUAAAUACAAAUUUAAAUUAGCCACUAAGAUACAGGGAAAGUGUUUUUUUGUCGAAUCAAAUGUAUCUAUGAAGUUGUUCGGCUACCUUGUAGAUAUAGAUAAUAGGCAGAACAUGAGUAUUGAAUAAAAUUAAACUUCGAAUCACAAGAUAAAACCAAAAUGGUGUAGGGGCAAUGCAACAUCCCGUAGAGUGAACUAUUCAGGCAGACUACAUUCUUAAUUUUUUUUUUUUUUUUUUUUUAGCAGACAACUUGGUUUAUCUACUAUAUGUAAACACGUGUAUGUCCAAACCAGACGACGUCAGGCUUCUCAUAUUUCCACCCUAUCAAUUCUACUUCCAUCUUCUUUCUCCUCCGUAUUGAACUCUCCUCGUGAAAUAAUAUUCAUGAUGGUCUUGGUGGCUUGGCCAACAGCACGGGAAGUCUUCUUUGCGGCACCAGCAACAACGGGCUGCAGGGAAAUGAUUGGCAAGCUAGCCCUCUCUUGAAUCAUAGCUAGAUGUCAAAUAAUAGACAAAAACAUCAGUUCUGUAGAGAUCAAUAAAGAAUGACUUGCAGUGGGAAAGAUAGCAGAAAGCACAGGAACUUACAAAUAGUAUGAUGGUGAGCAAGUGUCCCAAUCUGUCGAAUUCCAGCUUCUGCUGCUUGAACUGCUUGUGCUGAUUUAUUGACCCCAUCAGUUAUCUCUUGGCUGUAAUUCAUUGUGAUAAACCAUAUUAUUGUACUUGCAAAGCAUCUGAAAAAAUGAAAUUGUAUCCUUGGAGGCCAUGAGACUUCAUAGCACAUCUUGUUAAGUUGUAGUAUUCCUCGAGAAAUUUUAUAGUAAAGUAAUUAGUGAUAUCCUAUUAGUUAUUCUCUAGAUUUAUUUUGAAGGAGAAAGAAAUCCUAGAUGUAAAUAUUCUUAUCACUUUUGAUGGGUUAUGGAUUUUAUUUUCUCACUUCCUUGUGUAUGUCUUUCUCUUCAAAGUGAGUUGAUGAGUUAAUAGAAUGCCUCUAGUUACUCCGUGUUCCAGUAUUUCUCUAGCUGUCAUCAGACAGGUUCACACACAAAUAGACAUCAGACAAGUAUAAGU